AUACGUAGGGUGCGAGCGUUAAUCGGAAUUACUGGGCGUAAAGCGUGCGCAGGCGGUUUGGUAAGACAGGCGUGAAAUCCCCGGGCUUAACCUGGGAACUGCGCUUGUGACUGCCAGGCUAGAGUACGGCAGAGGGGGGUGGAAUUCCACGUGUAGCAGUGAAAUGCGUAGAGAUGUGGAGGAACACCAAUGGCGAAGGCAGCCCCCUGGGUCGAUACUGACGCUCAUGCACGAAAGCGUGGGUAGCAAACAGGAUUAGAUACCCUGGUAGUCCACGCCCUAAACGAUGUCAACUAGGUGUUGGGUGGGUAAAACCAUUUAGUACCGUAGCUAACGCGUGAAGUUGACCGCCUGGGGAGUACGGCCGCAAGGUUAAA
rnacentral:rRNA from 1 species